rnacentral:rRNA from 1 species
GUCCUGGCUGUAAACGAUGAGCGCUGGGUGUAGGGGGUAUUAACCCCCCUGUGCCGAAGCUAACGCAUUAAGCGCUCCGCCUGGGGAGUACGGUCGCAAGGCUGAAACUCAAAAGGAAUUGACGGGGGCCCGCACAAGCGGUGGAGCAUGUGGUUCAAUUCGACGCAACGCGAAGAACCUUACCGGGGUUUGAACUGCACGGGACCGCUGCAGAGAUGCAGCUUUCCUUCGGGACCCGUGUAGAGGUGCUGCAUGGCUGUCGU